UCUUUGAUGGUCUAACGGUCAUGAUUUCCGCUUGUCAUUCAUUUGGCAAUGCGCGGGAGACCGGGGUUCGACUCCCCGUCAGAGAG
rnacentral:tRNA from 1 species